AUCCGACUGACGAGUCUUAAAUAGGAUGAAACUUGAGUCUUGAAU
rfam:Schistosoma rodhaini strain Burundi genome assembly, scaffold: SROB_scaffold0018936